UUUUCUCCCCUCCCCGUGUUUUGGCUGCCCCGGCCGUCACGCUGGGCGUGUGGGGACCCUGACACCGAGCACGGCCGGGCCUCGCGCAGCGCCCUGCGGCCCUCCCCGAAGCGCAGCCCCCGUAACGCUCCUCAGCGCCGGCAGGAGGGAGUCUGGGUGGGUGCUGCCUCCCUGGGGCCCGGCGAUCCUAGGAGGGAAGGCUGGUGGAUGCGCAUUGUCCAGAAGCCCGGCAGCAGCAGAGUGCUUCACCCAGCAGAGGAGAUGCCAGAAAAGGGAGUGCGGCAGGGCAGUACUGAUAUGAAUCCAGGUUGAUCAACAAACAGCUCUUGACAGGACCAGAAGGAUACGAUAUGAACUGUGAUACGUACAAGAUGGAGGAAGUACAAUGGAAAAACAAAGAGAUGAAAUCACGAGCUUAGCAAGAGCAUCAUAUGUUCCAGCACAGCCUGAAGGUGCCGCAGCUCCUACCAGAGACCCUCUUUGAGAAACUCUGUCUUUUAUACUUCCUGCACCUCUGCAAGAAGCUCAUGACACACCCUGGCGUCACUGACAUUUAGUAGACCCUCCUUCUCCUCGUGCUUUCACCAAUACAGGAAGGUUGUGCUGUGCCCCACGCUGCCUUCAGACACUCGGGGUGCUCAGGUGCUUCCUCAGCCUGUGCAGCCAAGGGCUGCACACACCGAAACUCGGUAAAACCAAGUGCAUGGGCACGUGAGAAAUUAUGUGUGGUGAAGGGACGAGAGGAAAGACUCUCCUUUGUUGUUAUCUCUCCUGUUCACGGCAGAUCCUGCUUCAUCUGCCAGAGCAUCCACCAGAAGCCAGUGCCAUAGGAAACUGGGAGGAUCCCCAUCUCCUCCACCAGAUCCUUUCUGGGAAGGUGUUCAACUACCACAUGAAAAAUCUCAGUGUGCAGGACUGCCAGUGGCCAGCACCCCUUUGCCCUCCUCCACAUGCUUACAGGAUCCUUUCCAGAUUAUCAGCAGCUCCAGCAAGUGGACUUUCCCACCCCUCUCCCCUCUUUCUGCUUUUGGGUGUUUUUGUGUUACCAUCUGCUGAGUAUCAGCACGCACCAUCUUCCUCAAAAGGUUUUGCACUUUCGCGGUCCCACGCCUUCCCCACCAUCACGUUACUGCAGAAGUUUCAGACCUCAGGAUGUAGCCCUGGGAGGACCUGCAGCACUGUCAGCUCUGGUCCCUGCCUCAACAGGGAGUCACUUCAUCCAGUCCUGCUCCUAAAGGAUCAGUUGCCAUCCGAACCCGUGGCUUUUGUUUCAUUGCUGUCAUAGGUGGGCCCCGGCUCUUGGGACAGGCUCCUCUAGCAGGUAGAAUCAUCACCAGCUCCUCAUGAACUUGCUUUCCUUCCAAGGUGACUCAAAAGUAUUCACUUUGGCAUCUUGUCCUCUGCAUCUUCUUCUUACAGUAUGUCAAGGCUGUUACUGGGACAGUUUGCUGUUCCAGCUGGGACAGAUGGAAAAAUAAAGCAUCACAGGAUGGACCCCAGACAGAGCUUACGGUCCCUGGCAGGUUCAAAAGCACCCGGCCCUCUGGGGUUAUCCUGGAGUUGGGUGUGCAGGUCACCUGCUCGGUGCUGGAGGAAGGUGCAACAGCUCAGGAAGGACCCGAAGGAGCCAGUUCACUGCACUGGGACCUUCUGAAACCAGCCAGAAAGACCAGGCUGGUGGAAGAGGGAGAACACAAGCCGGGCAGUGUUUAUGUGCCUGGGAGACACCUGAACAGGCCCUAUUCUGCUUCUGCAAAUUGAAGUAAAUGAAAACCUAUGCUACUUACGUUGCAUUUAGGCUAAUUUAGAGGGAGUGUAUUUACUCUGCAUCAGACAACUAUGUCUAUUACAGAAGGCAUCUGUGGCAGGCAGCCCCUGUCUGGCUGCCAUGAAUCACUGUCCUUUUCCAGGUAAUCUGAUCAGGGUCUUACUCAAUUAUCUGGCCAUUAUACAGGAUACAUAUUACAAGGAGCAGAUAAGUUGUGUUAAAUGAGUUGAUCCAUUAGGUCAACACCAGCACCUCAGCCCUGCUGCUCAAACAGCCUUCAGGGGCAGAACCCAGCUCGCUGCAAGUAGCUUCAGCCAGCGUCCAAGCAGAAAUCUUUUUGUGAAUAAUGCCUUUCUAAAGGUUAAAACACUACGACCAGUGGAUGUUCAGUAGUCCGUGGCUCAUGGGAAAAGGAAGCACUUUUCAGUGCUGGAGAGAGCUGAUUUGUUUCCUUCUGACACGGUUUAGCACUGGAAAAUCUGAAGAUUUGGUGUUGUUAAAAAACCCAACAUUAUGAUGGGAUGUUUCUGUUUAAAUUAUUUUCAGAUAAUAUAAUGACUAAUCACAGCCAAAUCGGGUCUUCAGUAGAAUUUGUGUAUCUAUAAAAGUCUGAUGUUAAAACUACUGAUCACUUGCUGCCUUGCCUUUAACACCAACUAAUUCAAGGUGAAGCCAAAUGUUUCACUCCCUAGCUCUCUCAAGCCCAAAUUAAAUACAGCCGAAGUCAAGGCUCCUGUGGAUGGUCUCAGAUCCUGUGUACGUGCCCGUCCACACUUUCAGACCCUCCUCACACAUUGUGCCAGCCCAGCCAUCACUUAAAAACCUUCUCAGUGUUCCCCUCUCAGCCCGCCGGUGCCACUGUGGUUCCAGUCCCAUUCUGGGGCACUUCACGUGCAGGAGGCCAGGGCGUGAAGACUGUCAGCGUUUUUAUCUGGCUUCACAGCAGGUGACCCACACUUUCCUUCGCACGCUCUAAGCACACAUCACUGCCUGUUCAGCACACUCGCUUUUGACUUGGCUCGGUAAGCAGGUGCACCUCACAGCUCUGCAACUAUUUAUGGCUCUGUUUUCCUUUUGUUCGUCAAUUAUCCAAGCAGGUAUGCUGCCUUUAGAGUUUUAUCUUUUAACCACUUCCGCCAAGAAGGACUAGAGAUGAAAGACUUCUCUCAGAUACAGGCAGAAUACCUAGAAAUGGUGGGUGUAAAGCCUUUAAACGUAGGCAUGGUGCUGUCUGUGGGAGCGGUGGGCGUGCAGAGAGAGGCGCGAUCGCCUCAGUUUGCUCUGUGCCACCAGAGAGAGGGGAAGGGGCUGUAAAGCAGCAGCUCCGUGAAUCCCUCCCCAGAUCCACAGCGGCUGAAGCCAAAGACAAUGAGAGAAAGGGGGCAGGCAGACGGUUUGCAGUUUGUUUUCUGCACAUCCUCUCAAGCUUUAUCUUCAAAGUUUUGGUACGUGCCAAGUUCUGUGUUGUCAGAGCCAAUUCAACCAAAUUGUUAUCCUUAAAAAAGAA